UACGAAGGGGGCUAGCGUUGUUCGGAAUUACUGGGCGUAAAGGGCGCGUAGGCGGUACUUCAAGUCAGGCGUGAAAGCCCCGGGCUCAACCUGGGAACCGCGCUUGAGACUGGAGAACUAGAGUUCGGGAGAGGAUGGUGGAAUUCCCAGUGUAGAGGUGAAAUUCGUAGAUAUUGGGAAGAACACCGAUGGCGAAGGCAGCCAUCUGGACCGACACUGACGCUGAGGCGCGAAAGCCAGGGGAGCGAACAGG
rnacentral:rRNA from 1 species